AACAGCAGUCAUCAUCAUGUGAGAGCCAUCAAGGGAGUGAACAAAGUUUGGGGGGAAAGCGGUUCUUUGCCGCUUAACCAUCACCUUGUCUGUUUCUCUUUGCAAUGCCAACAUCUGCAGGGAAGUUUUAAUAAGAUGCCUUCCCAACUGUCUAUACGGUUGUACAACAGGAAGUCCAAGAGGAGUGGUCCAUCUCACAGGUUGAUUCUCUGAAGCUAUUACCUGUUUAUGUUCCAGUUGUCAGCCACUGCAGAAUAGUUCUUAAAAAAAGGCCAUGGAGCAAAGAAUAUAAGAUGUUGAUUUAUCCCAAUAUUCAAAUUUUCAGAAUUCAAGUGCUGAAGAUACACCUGAAAUAUGAUGAGGCAAGUAACAUAAGAAUGUGAUAAAAUCUUUUUCUUUCUCCAUUUUCUAUUUCACAAUUCAUAAGAACAGAAACUAGGAUUUCUCCAAUCAAUGAUCCAUACUGCCCCUUUACAAUUAGAGCCAAAGCCCACAAGCAGUAAUGCAGCAACUAUCAAAUAUCACAAAAUCCCUACAAUACAUUUAUACGUUUGUAAAGGCACCAAAUAAGAUAUUAUAAUGAUCCCAGACCAGCAUCAUAAAGAUACUGGAUACCAGGCAACUACAAGAUAAGAGGUAGACCAUGAAUGAUGAGUUGACUUUAUAAUACAAGUAGGGUGGAAAGGGAAAAAAAAUAAUUCAUGUUGUGGGAGCAUGGUUUAGUUUAGCGGAGUUACUAAAUGAAUAUGCUUACACUCAUGAACCACAUUAUGACUUGACACUUACACAAUGAGAACCCCAAAUAGGUUAACAAGAUCCUCAAAAAUGUUAAACAGUUCCUAUGACAAAAUUGAAGUUACAACAGAACCUCAUAAUUGAAACAACUAAGAAGACCAUGCCCAUUACUGCACCCAACAAGAGAGAGGGAGAGUUG
rnacentral:misc_RNA from 1 species